rnacentral:lncRNA from 1 species
UUCAUCAGAAACAGCUCCAGGUGAGGAAGCUGAGGCCCAGAAGAACUUGCCCAAGGUCGUGGAAGCAAUAAAGCUGGUUUGGAUCCAAGCAGUCCCAUCCCAGUGCCUAGAUGGGGUGGGCUUUUACCUACCUUGGAACGUGUGUGUAAAGACACCUUGAAACAAGAGGCAUAGGCAGGGCGUGGUGGCUCAUGGCUGUAAUCCCAGCACUUUGGGAGGCCGAGGCGGGUGGAUCAUGAGGUCAGGAGUUCGAGACCAGCCUCACCAACAUGGUGAAACCCCGUCUCUGCUAAAGAAAAUACAAAAAUUAUCCGGGUGUGGUGGCGCGCGCCUGUAAUCCCAGCUACUCAGGAGGCUGAGACAGGAGAAUCGCUUGAACCCAGGAGGCACAGGUUGCAGUGAGCUGAAAUGCGCCACUGCACUCCAGCCUGGGCGAUAGAACGAGACUCCGUCUCAAAAAAAAGAAAACAGAAAAAAGAGGCACGACACAAUGAUAAGUGAUGUCGUUUUUCUUGUUACAGUUACCAGUAUGAC